CUGCCAGCUCUGUUACAUAAGAAAGAUCCUUAUCAUUUAAAUCCCUGUUACUAAAAUUUUCUAUUAUAGCAGGACCUGUGUAGUUGAUCACCUUCCUACAGUGACCACCUCCUUAUAAUGACGUAAUUUUUAUAGACCAGACAUGCACCUAUCAGUACGUUGAACAUCUUUGUAUGUUGACCAGUUUGUUACUGUCCCUUGGGUGGUCAGGGUACAGAGGACCUGCUGUGUGUGUGGCUAAAAGUGCAACUGAUACACUUGAUACAAUGUUGCUUUCAAGGAAUGAGUUUUUCCUCCCCAGGAGGUUUAAAAUACAUUGUGGAUUUUCAAUGAGUUGAUUCAGUUCCAAAUAUUUCCAAAGAAAGCUGAAAAGUAGCACUUAAUAAAAGGAGGAACUAUUUUGCUAUUUUUCUUUUUGUUCUUUAGGAGACUGACUCAGCUUUAGCAAGUCGAAGCAAACUAGUAAAUGAGUUUAUUUUCGUUCCUUUUGUUUUUGCAAAUGUCCUCCUAUAGAAAAUGAUUCGGAGUACCAAAGUGAAGAUAAGAAAUGCCAUGUGAGAGACUUAACUCGGAGAAUUUUUGCAGUCAAAAGCUGACAGGAGGUUGGAAUGAGGUCCUUCUUUGUCUGAUUUUCAAAUUCAGCCAGCUGUUAUGGGCUGAAAUGUGUCCUUCCAAAAUUUGUAUGCGGAAAUUCUAACCCUCAGUACUUCACUCAAAAGGACGUUGAAGCAUGUCAGCCAGCCAAGUUUUUUCUGUGCUUUUUUUUUUUAUAUACUGAAAACAAUAGAAGAAAGUUGGAGUCAAGCCACUGAAUGCAGAAACUGAAGUUAACAGGUCAUGAAGAAGUAAAGUAGAAGAUGUUAGACAUGUACCAGGUAACAUUUGUGUUCAUCUUGAGUCACUGAAGAACUGAUAAGUGGCUACGUGGUAGAGCAACAUAAGCUUACUGUUCGUAGGUAAGAAUCCGGUUCAUUUAUAAACUUGGUCUUCAGGAUUCUCAAACUCAUUGGCCACUUCCUUGGAAAGAGCAACUCAUAUUUUAAUAAGUCUUACAACCUUAGAAUAUAUUUUCUGAUACAUUGUCUAAAUUUCCUCCUUUUCAUUCAUUACAUGAUAUAUUUUGGUAAUUUUCCGACCUAUGAACCGUCUCUCUCUCUCUCUUUUUGUGCUCUUUACCUCCUGAACUAAGGAUGCCCUUCCUCUUUAGCUGGCUGACUGACUCCUACAGCACCCUGGCUCAGCCCAAGCAUGUCUCUUUGUGAGAGUCUGUGAUUUUCAGAAGUCUGCCCUUGCUGUGUGUCCCUGUGCGUACCCUUAGGAUGCACUUAUUACUCAGAGCUGUGGCUCUGUUUGCUCCUCCCUCUCCUCUGGAUGACAAUCUCUGUAAAGUCAUGCACAAUGCCUUUUAUUUCUGUAUUCCUAGUUUCCAACAAAGUGCCUGUCUUACAGUAAAUAUGUAAUUCUUUAAAAAAAAAAACAUUUUUCUAAGAUCUGAGAUUUGAAAAAUCUCAAACCACGUUUUCUUGAAUACAUUUUUUUUUUUUUUGAAUCUUACUUUUUCACCUUUGGUAGAAUGCUGUGUCAUCAUAGCUCACAGAAACCUCAUAUUCUUGGGCUCAAGUGAUCCUCCUGCCUCAGCCUCCUGAGUAGCUGGGACUACAGGCGCCCACCACAACGCUGGCUAGUUUUAGAGAAGUUGAAGCACACUAAGUGUUUUUUUUUACUCUUUUUUUCUUUUUGGUCAAUGUAGUUGAAGUGUGCUGUGGAAGUUUGACUACAGGUUCAGGGGUGCCAUGAGGUAAAAGAGGUUGAAAAACACUGUUUUCCGUGGUCAAUGCUUUUCCUCCCGGUAAUUCUCUUCCGUUUAACCUUCUCUUGGCAGGUCCACCAGACCUACCAUGUCAAUGGCGUUUCUCAGACUCAUAUAAUCUCUUUUCCUGCCCCUUUGGGUCAUCCUAGACCCUUUGGAAUCUGUAAUCUGAGGCACUGUGAUAAAUUCCUUUCACUUCUAUCCAUCUCAGCCACAGACAGCACAAUUGUGAGGUUUUAGGUGUGAUUGAGACGUGCCCUUCAGAGCCAGGCACGGUGCUAUGUCCAAGAAUACUCACAAUUCAUAGCGAUGUGCUAGAGAACUCGAAGCACAUCGAGUUCAUAGCGAUGUGCUAGAGAACUCGAAGUGCUAGAAAGAGGUGUCCUAAAUGUUGAGAGCAUAGGGGAGUCCUUCUGCCACUUGUUUGUAGCUGACAAGACUUACUUGUAUGCCUCAAGUGUGACUCAGUCAUGGCCAUCCCUAAAACGCCUACAUUUUCCUGGAAGUCUAUAUUCCCUUUCUAUUCAUAACCGCAUUUGUUUUGGCUUCUUCACUUUCCAGGGUAAUGUUUGUUUAUAGAAAAGAUGUCAUGUAAUUCUUUCGAUGUCCUCAAUGAUAGGAAAGAUGAAAUGAAGUUUGUUAUGAAUUGUUUUAAUGGGAUAAAUGACUCGUUAGGGAAAACACAUAUCCAGGCACUGAAGUCACCAAAAACGGUUCCAAGGCCUCAUUGUUCUCUGGGGACUUGCUGUUUCCACAGGCCAUCCAGCUCACAGGAUAGUUCUGCUUCCAAGUAAAACCAAGCUCAAAAUCAUGAUGAGUGUGAGGGCCAAGAGUUAAAGAAUUUCUGGAGCCCAAAGUGCAGAGGAGAUUCCCCUGUGCUUAGCUGCCCAUUAUCCAGACUGAGUGAAACAAAUCAAAGUUUCACUUAAAGUCUUAUUAAAUCUAAUGUCAGUUAGCAGCAGUAUCUACACUGGAUAAGGUUUGGCUUAUCUUGCUUGCCAGACAUCGAGUGCCCACAGCAGUCCACAGAAGGUGACCAAUCACUAUUUGCGGAAGAAAGGAAUCUAUACACUUAAAUUGGUAGUAUAAACAUAAAGCAUUUACUUUCUUUUUUCUUUUUUUUUUAUUGUUGGGGAUUCAUUGAGGGUACAAUAAGCCAGGUUACACUGAUUGCAUUUGUUAGUAAAGUCCCUCUUGCAAUCAUGUCUUGCCCCCAGAAGGUGUGGCACACACCAAGGCCACGCCCCCUCCCUUCUUCCCUCUCUCUGCUUUUAGCAUUUACUUUCUUAAGAGGAAGUUUACUAAGUGUAGAGUAUAAGGGUUUGAACAUAAUAACUAAGAAAAUGCCAUGAAGGCUAUGUUAACCAGUUCGGUGAAAAUAUUUCAGACUAUAUAUGGAACCAGCACAUAGUACCUCAUGAUUGCAUUAUUAUACACAGCUAUGAUUUGAUAAAAAAAAAAAAAAAAAGAAAAAAAAAGUUCCUGCUAUUGGUCAAAAGUUUGUGUCCCCCUGCCCCCAAUUCUUAUGUUGAAACCCUAAUCCCCCAUGUGGCGAUGUUGGAGAUGGGUGUCUUGGAGGUGGGCAGGUCCUGGGGAUGGAGCCUGCAGGGAUGCAGAGAUGUGAGCAAGGGCUUCCUUUCUCUCCCUCUCUCUGUCUUUGCCGUCUGCUGACGCAGGAAGAUGCCCAUCUGCAAAUCAGGGAGCGUUCCCUCACCUGCAUCUUCGUUCCAUCAUUUUGGAUUUUCAGAACUGUGAGAAAUAAAUGUUUGGGAUUCAGGCCGGUCUACAGUAUUUUUGUUAGAGCAGCCCAGACUGAUGAGACGGUUUCUAACCAUUUCAUUCUCCAGCAAUGUAGGCUGAGCUCGCAUCCAGUGUGCAUACAGGACUAACUCUCCACCACUUCUCCACGUCGGUUACUCUCCUAGACACCCUCUGUGAGUAUCAUUUUAAAUUCUGGUGUGAAUUUAAUAUGAGUAAAGAUGUACCCCUUUGAAUAAUUCAGGUUUAAUUUUUCAGAACAAUUUUCCUCAAUUAUUCUGAACUAAUAUCAUUUUAUUUGCCUUCCCUAAGAGCAAUUUAAACAUUUUUCUUUUUAUAGAAUGGUACAGAUGUUUACCAUGACAUUGCUUUCCAUCCGGGGUACAGUCAUUAUCCCUCCUCUCCUUCUUCCACAGUCAUAGAGACUCAGGGUUUUAGAUGAUCACGUGGGUGUCCAGAAUAAACUACAUUUCCAAACCCCUCACUUGCAGACAGCUGUUUCCAUGUGAUGAAGCUCUAGCCAAUUGUCAGAGAGCAGCUUGUGAGAAUCUCCCUCAAAGACAACAAGAACCACCAUUUAUGCCUCUGCCCCAACCCUGUUUUGUCCUUUGCUUUUUCCCUGUGGCUAAAAUUCUUACACUGUGUCUUAAGCUGGUGCAGCCAUUUUGGACAAAGUGGUUCUAGCGGCCUAAUCUGGGGAGCAAGCGGGUAGAAGGGCUGGGUGUCUGAGGAUUUGGGGAAGCCACAUCAGCGGCCUCUUGAUUCUCGCGAGUGCCCCGGUUAUUUCUCUUCCUGUUGCUCUGCCGCAGGACAGCACCAGUUGUGACACUCUCAGGAGAGGAAUGAUUAAAGGUGGGCGAGGCAACGUUCCCAUGGAUUUCCAAAGGUGACCUUGGGAAGACAGCAGACAUUGCCUGUCACAGGACACAAGUCCGCCGUGCUGGGUCUGCCCUUCCCCUUGAGCGUGUGGACACAGACAGACCUGGUGCUGCUUGGUAUCCGCUGCAGACAGAUAAUGGGGACACCUCCCCUGGGCUUGCUGAGGCAGCUCUGUCAGCUGUCCUGGUAGUGCCGGGUGGGCCAGGGCCAUCUAGUGGCAAGUGCCACUGCCUAUUGCGGCAAGUUUCGGCUUGCUUUCAUGGUAGCAGAUGCGGGUAUACCGUGAUGGGUGGCAGCCUCCCGUGGCUCCAGUCCAGCUCCAUUCUUGAGUCAGGAAGGCAAUGAGUUCCAACAUGUUUUACAAAAUUAAUGACAUGCCCGGGAGGAGGGUGUCUGGAGUGGUAGGAAGAAGACCCCCAGGCAGUGAGGCCUGGAUUCUCAUCCUGGCACCACUGACAGAGACAUGACCUUGAGCAGGUUGCUUCCCUGCUCCACUCCUCAGGAGGGAAUGGGUUGCAUCGUUUCUAAGGUGAGAAUGACUGAUUAUUGCCAUCACGGUGGCAAUUAUUACACCGUCAUUGUUAGGUUGGGUCUACCACACAUCUCAUCGCUUCCUCUGUGAGUGUGAAACUAACCUGCUGAAUAUAAAUACAGGAAAAAAUUCUCUGUAUUUCAUCAGAAAAAAUAAAGCAACAUUUUCUCAUCUUUGGAUAAAUUUCAGAAUUAAUAUUAGUAAGAACCAGAAAUAAAUAGCAUCUGGAUCGUCCUUUGGCAAAUAAAACUGUACUAUGUUUUUGUCUGGUUGAAACUCAAUGGCAGCAUUCAACUGAAUUUCUCCCAAGAGGAACUCAGCGGUGGGAAGGGUGCAGACCCGGGAAGCAGGAGGGACUAGCUUUGAUUUUGGCCGCUGACCUUACCAGCUCUAUGACCGGGCCAAUCAACUUUUCUCUGAGCUUGAUGAGUCCAACACUUGGGCAGCAGACGGAGGGAGGACGGAGGAAGCUGAGCGUUUCCCAGAAGCUUCUGCAUCACACAAGGUGUUCUGUGUUAUGGACCUAGCGCCCGAGCACAAGCUUGCUGGAG